CCUACGGGUGGCAGCAGUGGGGAAUAUUGGGCAAUGGACGCAAGUCUGACCCAGCAACGCCGCGUGAAGGAAGAAGGCUUUCGGGUUGUAACUUCUUUUAAGGGGGAAGAGCAGAAGUCGGUACCCCCUGAAUAAGCCACGGCUAACUACGUGACAGCAGCCGCGGUAAUACGUAGGUGGCAAGCGUUGUCCGGAUUUACUGGGUGUAAAGGGCGUGCAGCCGGAGAGGCAAGUCAGAUGUGAAAUCCGCGGGCUCAACUCGCGAACUGCAUUUGAAACUGCUUCCCUUGAGUAUCGGAGAGGUAAGCGGAAUUCCUGGUGUAGCGGUGAAAUGCGUAGAUAUUGGGAAGAACACCAGUGGCGAAGGCGGCUUGCUGGACUGUAACUGACGUUGAGGCUCGAAAGCGUGGGGAGCAAACAGGAUUAGAUACCCCGGUAGUC
rnacentral:rRNA from 1 species